GACGAACGCUGGCGGCGUGCUUAACACAUGCAAGUCGAACGGAAAGGCCCUGCUUUUGUGGGGUGCUCGAGUGGCGAACGGGUGAGUAACCCGUAAGUAACCUGCCCUUGACUUUGGGAUAACUUCAGGAUACUUGGGCUAAUACCGGAUAGGAGCUCCUGCUGCAUGGUGGGGGUUGGAAAGUUUCGGCGGUAGGGGAUGGACUCGCGGCUUAUCAGCUUGUUGGUGGGGUAGUGGCUUACCAAGGGUUUGACGGGUAGCCGGCCUGAGAGGGUGGACGGCGACAAUGGGACUGAGAGACGGAGCAGACGGCUACGGUAGGCAACAGUGGGGAACAUGGCACAACGAGGCGAAGUGUGAGGUAGCGACGUUGCGUGCGGGAUGAGCGCCUGCGGGUUGUAAACCGCUUUCGCCUGAGACGAGGCGUGAGUGACGGUAAUGGAUAAAGAAGCACCGGCUAACUACGUG
rnacentral:rRNA from 1 species